CCUCCACCACCCACCCCUCUCCUCGCUGCCACCCACCUCCGCCACACCUCCCCUCCCCACCCCAGAUCCUCUCCCCACUCACAGAUCCAACUUGCCAUCAUAGAACAAGGAGAUCGUGGCCAAGAUCUUCGGGACGCGGUGGUCGUCGUCGCGGACCGCUCCUCCGCCAACCCGUACAAGUUCCCCGGUGCUAAGGUACCUCGAGGUGUUCGCGCGGCGGUUCGACCCCCUCAGGCUGGUCCGGUUCGGGACGGAGGUGGUGAGCGUCCGUCGCAGCAGGGAAGACGACGUGAGCUGGAGGGUGAGGCUCGCCUGCGCUGGCAGCGAGCUGGAGGAGUAGGUUUGACGCCGUGGUCGUCUGUAGUGGGCACUUCGCCGAGCCGUGCGUGGCCGCCAUCACAGGACAGACGGUUCCUCGGGCAGCGCCAUCGUCGGCAGGGCCGUGGUGCAGGCCUACCGCUAGACCAUCAUCUCUGAGGAACGUCCUGUGGGCUACUUCCAAGCAUGAUGUGUACAUGAUGCAGAACUAUUCUGUGAUGCAUUGGUCGUCCUUACUCCGCAGAGGAAAAUAAGUGCUCAACAUGGCAGGCCCAAAUCAGGAUAUGCAGGGAGGUUGGCCCUUGUCCAGGGGAAGAUCAGCACCAUGACGGUGAAAGACAACCUCUUGGCGGCUGGUGGUUCCAUGGGGAGCUGAUCUGCAAUGUAUCCCACCGCUGAUCCUUAUCCAGAUCAGCUGCAUCGCCGGUUCCGCCGUCUCCGACCGCACUCCCCCGUCUGUGCCGUCGAGUCGGGCCUGCUCACCUCCUUCUUGAUGGUCGCGUGCCGGGAGAGCCCUUUGCCGGCAGUGACGCAGCCAUGUCUGGUGUCGUACAAGAGACGCCAGCGCAGGAUGUUGUCGUCGUCCGUUCCUAACGCCACUGAGUUGAGGCAUGAUGUACAUUGGGUGGUCGUCAAGUCAAGGAACCUCCUCUUCUUGCUGUGGCAGUCCUCCUCCCGCUACUCUGCUCUGCUCAACAGCUAGCGUCCAUGGCUAAAACAAAGGUAAGACUCUGGCCGGUCAUCGGUGUAUUGAGCCAUGGUGGUCUGUUUGUGGGGGUCAUCAACAUUGGUAUAGGUUAGCAUGUGCCCUUCAAUCAGUGCACGAUGAUGAAACACUUCAUUUGAUGAUGACGACUGGUUCCAGAUCUGCACCUCUUGUUUGUUAAUUUGGCUCAUGUAUGUUGUCGUGUCUGCGAAAGAUGCAACCUGAGUGCUUUUAUUGUCCUUAAGUUUAAUAAACGAGGAACAACAUUCAGAUCGUGCUCCAUGGCGCACAUCAGCUGUUGUGUUUGUAAUGUUUGAGUCUGCUCCAUCAUCGAUCUGUAGGCCGCCCGGAUAAUUAAGCUAUAGUAAUUCUCUGCU